CGGGAAAACAAAAGGAAAAGUGAUAUUUGCAUAAAGGCAUAUUCCAUAAAUCCAAUUCGUGUGCAAAAGUUUCGAGCCGAUGUGUAGUGACUUCGAGUGCGUUUCGAUUCUAACAGCAUUUCGAGACAAAUGUUCCGACAAUAAAUAUGAAUUAUUCAUAAAAGGGCGAAUGAAAAAGCCGAAGUAAACGAUGCCGCAGCAAUUACACCAUUAAACAUCAUGUACUAUCUUCUACACACGCUUACGUCCUCAUUAAUAUUCCCGUCGUAAUUUUGCUUUGGCUAGGUCAGAAGACCCAAAUGCCUAUGUAUAUUAACACGGAUUGAGACUCCCAGCCGUUAUUGUUUAUUAAAAACUUCGCCGGGUUAACAAAAGUUAUCACCGUUUAUGCGACGAGAUGGUGACUGCUGAAUUUAAAUUCCACUAAAAACGGAAAAUUUCGCCAAAAUUAAACUUCCCCUCUAUUCCAACAAGAUUAACAUCGGUCGCUCCAAGCCCUGGUGCUCGUCUUCACAAUCGCCAAAAAAUAAUUCACACCAAUCGCAAUUUUCAGCGUGAAAAUAAAUAGCUGAUUUUUGUGACAGCUUUGUUAACUUUGCGAGGUGUCAGCCACUUUCGCUUUGUCACCGAAAAUAUCGAAUUAAUUUUCCUUUCAUGUAGCGACGAUAUAAUCUCGUUUAGUUAACACAGUUACCAAGUUCAAUAGAACAAACCCUAAUUUCUUUCUAAUCGCGAAAUAUUUAACGGUCUAGAAAUUGCUCUAAAUUGAGGCGUUUCUAUUUGAGUGCGAAAAACUCGAUAACGCCUAUUGCACAAAAAACGGCGCGGCGUACGUUAUCGUAUUAAUUCCAGCCAAUGGUGUUAUGUUUCGGACAUGAAUGGCGUAUUGAAACGUCCCAUUUUCUCUCAUUGCUCCUCCAAUAAAUUACUUUUUAGACGCUGUCAGCGCUAAUGGGCGCUUAAACGACUUUGAAAUGUUUAUCGCCAAUUUAAUUGAUUGAAAUGUAAAUAUGUUUAGUUUUUCCAACUGAUCGAUAAAGGGCGGCAAUCGGCAUGCAAAAUGAGAAAUUGUUAGACCGGUCGUUAAUUACUUGUACCUCACGUUUUUUACAUUUAUUCAACAUUUAUUUACGCAUUCUAUCAUUGUAGGUUUUAUGAUCUUGAGACGAGUGUAAUAUUGUCUAGUGCUUUGUUUAUAAUAAUGAUAAAAGAUAAGCAAAACCGCAGAAUUAACGCUUAAUAUUUGCGUACUAUUUUCGAAAAUUGUGGUAGAUAAUAUAUAGUUGCUAUAAUGGCUCUUUUUCCGCUUUAUUUCAUUUAGGCCGGUAUGUCAAUAAUCACACGACCUCGAGGAAACGUUAAGAAAAUAAGAUAAUGUAUCGGCUGUUCAUAAAUAAUUGUUCUCUGUAAAAUAAAUAAACUGUAAAUGA